CGGCUCUGAAGAACCCGGACUGUAAAAUACAGAGACUGGGGCUCGACAAUGUCGGUCUCACAGAUUCUGGAGCCGAGGAUCUCGUCUCCGCUCUCAGUACAAACCCCUCACUGACGGUGCUGUGGCUGGGACACAACUCCCUCACUGACCAACGUGUCCCCGCUCUCCGCCGCCUCAUACUGACCCACCCGAGUCUGGAGCUGAUCAGGCUGGAGUGGAA